rnacentral:rRNA from 1 species
AUUCCAGCUCCAAUAGCGUAUAUUAAAGUUGUUGCGGUUAAAAAGCUCGUAGUUGGAUUUCUGUUUAGGAAGUCCGGUCCGCACUUUGUGCGUGAUCUGGUUCUGCCUCGGCAUCCUCGCGGGGAACGCGCUGCGCUUGAUUGCGUGGUGCGGUAUUCGCGACUUUUACUUUGAGGAAAUUAGAGUGUUCACGGCAGGCUAUCGCCUUGAACACGUUAGCAUGGAAUAAUAAUAUAGGACCUUGGUUCUAUUUUGUUGGUUUCUAGAACUAAGGUAAUGAUUAAUAGGGAUAAUUGGGGGCAUUUGUAUUAACACGUCAGAGGUGAAAUUCUUGGAUUGUGUUACGACAAACUACUGCGAAAGCAUUUGCCAAGGAUGUUUUCAUUG